rnacentral:lncRNA from 1 species
AAUAUUUGAUUACGGCAAGAAAGAUCAAUGGAUGCUAAAGCUAUCAGGUGAAAGGUAGUUGAGAGACUAGAUAAUAUCAUUGUACAGACAGAGUAUUUAUUUGCCAAGAAAGAGGAUGUUCCUUUAGCAAGGGAGACAUUUAGCAGAUCUUACCGUAGCCAAGGACUCCAAGUGACUCCUAUGCUCAUUAAAUCUUGAGAAGUGCAGUCUUAAACCAUGAGAUAGAUAAGUGUGCAAAGGUUCCAACAUCCUCCAAGGGACUCUGGCUCCUUUCGGUGGAAAAUAAUGAGAUGAGUCAGAAUGUGGAGUCAAUGCUGCACUCAGGCGUGACCUUGACUUUUGACUGCAGGAACGAUAGCAGCGCAGCAGCAAUGUACCAUAGAGCAUGGUUCUCAAUCAUCUUUGGCUGGCUCCAGCAACCAUUCCAACUGUGUAAUUAAGUCAUUUCUAGGAGAGCUGAGCAGCUGGGUCAGUACUAUAUGUUCUAGUGAUCACUGGCUGUCAGGUUGAAGCUUAAAUUAAUAUUCUGAACAGUUAUUGAAUUUCAGCCACUCCAUCUUUACAGAAGCCAGCAACUAGAAAUGUGACAGGUACUCCGGAUUCUGCUUUCAUCAACACAUUCAAGGAGUGAUAAAAACCAGCACCAGCCUGAUACUGUCGAUAAUAUUUCUUAGAGCAGCUGUUGAUGUAAAAAAUAGAUAAUAAUAAAUUGGGUCGAAGGAACUGAAAAUGUUACGUUCCGUGCCUGCCCAGGCUGAGGACAGCUGCCACCCUACCAUACUAAGGUGUCUCCUUUGCCCUUAGGCCUCAUUUCCUUCCUAGAUAAAUAAAAAUAAAUUCCCUAUAAUGCAAAGGGACCACUUUCUAGAAGUGUAAAUUGAAAUAUGCUGGCUGUACAAACUUGUGAAAUUAGUUUUGUUGGUGGGAAAAACCUUAAUUAAAGGACUGGUUUGAAAUAAGGAAGAGUAAUAAUGCAUUUUUCAUUAUGUUCACCUUGGCACCAGCCACAUUCACUUUAAUGAUCUAAUUUCUAUUUUUCUUAUUUAAUGGAUGACAUUAGAUUAGCUUUCCCAACAGGUUUGUUUCCAAAAGGUUAAUGAAAUCGAGCUAAAUAUUUGGUUGGCCAAAAAAUUCAUUUGGGUUUUUCCCUAUGAUGGUAGGGAAAGCCCAAUAUAUACAGUAAAUCAUUAGUAUUUCUGUUUUGAACCACCAAUGUCUCACAGUUCUGGAUCCUGCUUUCUGCUUGGGGACAAGAUAAAAUUUAUCAGAAAUUAAAUGGCUUGUAUCCUCUAUACUAGGAAAUCAAUGAAAUAUCAGAACUAUAGAGGAAACAGCUCCUUUUGUAUCACCUUCAAAUGAAUAAACUCAACAUGAGAUUUUUUUGUGACUUUCCUUAAUGAAAAACUGAACCAAAGUAAUAGAUUUAAUGUAUGAGAAUCAAAACUUGGGAAUUUAAAAAUUUACAUUUAGUAACCUCUCAUCAAGGAGUGAGGGAUGGGGUUUAAGCAUUUAUUGGAGGUAGUAAUAAGGAGAGAAACAAUUUUUCAUGAAAUCUUUUUUUGUAAAGGUGAGGUUGUAUCCACUUUCUCUUAUAUCAGGCUUCUUAAAAAAAAAUCAAGGCUCAAGACCUUGGUUUGUUAGUCUGCCACUUCCAGUCAAGAUGAAAUAACAGAGACUAGAGUUACAAUUCCUGCCUAAAGAUAUAAAAAAUAAAUAAAACAAUGGUUUUCAAAAUACAAUCAUUAGGAAAAAAAGGGCUGUGACUCUUGAGAGACAAACAACCCAAUUUUUUAAAUGGGCAAAAGAUUUGAACAGACACUUCACUAAAGAAGAUAUAUGAAUGAAAAG